UACGAAGGGGGCUAGCGUUGUUCGGAUUUACUGGGCGUAAAGGGCGCGUAGGCGGAUUUUUAAGUCGGGGGUUAAAUCCCGGAGCUCAACUCCGGAACUGACUUCGAUACUGAAAGUCUGGAGCACGGUAGAGGUGAGUGGAAUUCCGAGUGUAGAGGUGAAAUUCGUAGAUAUUCGGAGGAACACCAGUGGCGAAGGCGGCUCACUGGACCGUUGCUGACGCUGUGGCGCGUAAGCGUGGGGAGCAAAAAGU
rnacentral:rRNA from 1 species